UUAUGAUGAUCCUAUUGAUUCCGAAUGCCUUGACGAAUCCUUAUUUACUAGAGACUCUUUCUGACUCU
rnacentral:snoRNA from 1 species